rnacentral:rRNA from 1 species
UACGUAGGGUCCGAGCGUUGUCCGGAAUUAUUGGGCGUAAAGAGCUCGUAGGCGGUUUGUCGCGUCUGCUGUGAAAUCCCGAGGCUCAACCUCGGGUCUGCAGUGGGUACGGGCAGACUGGAGUGCGGUAGGGGAGAAUGGAAUUCCUGGUGUAGCGGUGGAAUGCGCAGAUAUCAGGAGGAACACCGAUGGCGAAGGCAGUUCUCUGGGCCGCACCUGACGCUGAGGUACGAAAGCGUGGGGAGCGAACAGG